UGCAGGUCUUUUUGAAAUCGAACAAGAAUUUCUUACACAUUGAAUCUGGGUAAACAUGGUAUCAAGAAACAACUGUUUCAACUUCUUGAUUUCAUUGCUGCAACUGGUACUGAGAAAAUUAGACAGGGAGAAGUGGAAACCUAUCUUUAAAAAGCAAAUUUCUUGCCAAGUUUGUCGUGGUGGUUUUGUUCUAAAAACAAUGAUCCAGCUUUGAAGGCUUCUUAUAAACUGGACAAUCAUGUGGAACAUGGAGCAGUGACGAAAGCUUUUGAAGUGAUAGAGAGAAAUUUGUUUAGCUAGAAGUUGGUCUUUUUUGGGUUGGCCUUAAUUGCAGUUCUCCUAUAGAUGUGAUUAUGUGACAUUUUUAGGUACAUUUCUGGAUGUAUUUUGCUAUAAGAGUUUCAAAGAUGUGAUCCCUUAUUUUGUGGA